CCUCUCUGUGUAGCGAGAGUCCCAGGAGGUGGCUGCUGUGUCUAGCUGGGCUGAGAUCCACACAGCAGCCCGACUGCUGCGGGUACCACCAGAGUGCCUGGAGGGGGCUGUCACCAGGAGGGUCACGGAGACGCCCUAUGGCCAGGUCUCGCGAUCCCUGCCCGUGGAAAGUGCCUUUGAUGCCAGGUGGCCCUAGAGACGGGUGAGAGUCAGAGCAGGGCCCGAGGCACGGCUCUAUGUGGCUCACCCACCCGCCAUGCCUACAGGGACGCCCUGGCCAAGGCACUGUAUUCCCGCCUCUUCCACCGGCUUCUGAGGAGAACCAAUGCACGGCUGGCACCACCAGGGGAGGGAGGCAGCAUUGGCACCGUCACUGUCGUGGAUGCCUACGGCUUUGAGGUCACCCCUUGGGGUGGGGCCCAGGAAAGGGGGCACCCAUAUAAUUCCGAUGGAUUUCUGGGACCCCCACAGCU
rnacentral:lncRNA from 1 species